UUUAGUUCAACUGUUGUACGCCAUCAGAACCUAAACAUGAGCUAGUUGUAAUUUAUUUGUAAACAAUGUAAACAAACACUGUAGCUAUAGGCCCAAAACAUAGUUCAAACUAUAAUUUUGAUAUCAGGGAUGGUCAGUCCUUGCAUAAAUAGCUCUUUCUACGAAUUUGAUUGUGGUAACAUUUCUCCAGGCCAAUCUCUCAGCUUUUUAUCAAAACAAAGGUGCUGGACAAGAUGUUGGCCGCGGCUGCAUCCUUGUCUCGAUUGGGGGAAAAAAUAUUAUGCUUGAUUGUGGGAUGCACAUGGGUUUCAAUGAUAGACGAUUCCCAGAUUUCUACAUAACACAAGGACAGCAUGAUAAUGCACGGUCGCAUGCACGGCUCCAUGUAGCAAAGAUGUGUACACAAUUCCUCGAAGCUGAAAAUGUCCCAGUUCUUCCAUGGCCCGCAUACUCACCAGACAUGUCACCCAUUAAGCAUGUUUGGGAUGCUCUGGAUCGAUGUGUACGACAGCGUGUUCCAGUUCCCGGCAAUAUCCAGCAACUUCGCAUAGCCGUUGAAGAGGAGUCGGAUGACAUUCCACAGGACACAAUCAACAGCCUAAUCAACUCUGUUUAAAGGAGAUGUCACACUGCAUGAGGCAAAUGGUGAUCACACCAGAAACUGUCUGGUUUUCUGAUCCAUUGACCUUUUUUCUAAGGUAACUUUGACCAACAGAUUCAUAUCGCUAUUCCCAGUCAUGUGAAAUCCAUAAAUUAAUUUAAUUCAAUUGACUGAUUUCCUUACGUGAACUGUAACUCAGUUAAAUCGUUUUGGUUCAGUAUAGAUUUAUUCGCCACACUGGGUUUUGCAGCUGCAAAAACACACAUACAAUUCACACAAGCAUAUAUUUAUACCUUCCAAUGUGGCGGAGUCACCUUGUAUUUCUAGGAUAAACAAUCAGUCUCUGUUGGUAGGCAAGAACUGAGUCUGUUCCUCCUAUUGGUGUUAUCGUGGGCCAACCUGAGUCCAGAACCUUCAUGGGCAGGGAUGUGUGUAUGAGAAUACCUCAGUUUGAGUAUUGUUGGGAUGGACACCUCUAGCCCCCCUCUGAGGUUUCUUCUCCAACUUUGUCCUCACCUCCACGUCUCUCUUUGCCCUAGUUCCACAGAAAAUCGCCUGACCUUACCAGGAACUGAGAGUCGACUUUGGCUCUUCAUCUACUUCCUUUAGAAAUAUGAAUAUAAAAGGAGUUCACUCACUGCUUUAGAAUGUAGUGAAAUACUGGUAAAUUCAAGAGGGUGCUAAUAAAUGAAUGUCUAA